rnacentral:rRNA from 1 species
AACGAACGCUGGCGGCAGGCUUAACACAUGCAAGUCGAACGCCCCGCCCGGGGCGCGGCAGGCGGGUGAGUGUAGCGUGGGAAAGUAACCUCUUCUGUGCGCUAGCCCUGGGAUACUGGAAUUCAUACCGAAUGUGCCCUUUUGGGGAAAGAUUUAUCGUGCAAGGAUCGGCCCGCGUUGGAUUAGCUAGUUGGUAGGGUGAAGGCAUACCAAGGCGACGAGCCAUAGCUGUUGUGAGAGGAUGAUCAGCCACAUUGGGACUGAGACACGGCCCAAACUCCUACGGGAGGCAGCAGUGGGGAAUAUUGGACAAUGGGCGCAAGUCUGAUCCAGCCAUGCCGCGUGAGUGAUGAAGGCCUUAGGGUUGUAAAGCUCUUUCACCCGAGAAGAUAAUGACGGUAUCGGGAGAAGAAGCCCCGGCUAACUUCGUG